ACAGAAUUUUCCUUUCUGCGUUAAGGGCAAAGAUCUCACAGAUGUGACCAGAGAACCAUUUAUAUCUCCGGCAUUCUCUCCAGAGGGUAACCAAUCUUCCUGAUCUUACUGGAGUCCUUAAAACCCCAGCUGCUCUGAGGAGACCGGGCCAAACAAGGAAGAAGAAUUGGAAGAUGCUGGAAAGCAAAGACCACGUCUGCCAAACGGUGUAGCCGGAGCUGCAAUGUGUGAAGCAUGUCAUGUGAAGCAUGUCAGAAACCAGCGCUCAGCUCUGACUCGGGUGGGCACUUGCAGACCAAGUCUGGAUCCCAGGUUUUUGCAGUAAAAUGAUUUAUUUCAACACAUUCCAAAACUUCUAAAGAUAAAUUCAUGUAGACUGGAUUCAGGAAAAGAAAAAAAAAAACACUAAGGAAAAGGAAACUGAAAAUUACCUUGUUCAGGUCAGUGUUUCUCAAACAUCAGCAAUUUGUUUUCUGAUAUCAAGUUGCUACACUUUAUACUAGGAUUGACAUAAUAUUGACUCACUUAAAAAAUUUAAGCUUUUUCUCCUUGAUAGUAUUGUUAAAAUUAUGGGUUCGAUAAAACAGUGAUAUAUCUUCUUACUUUUCUUAUAGUAUAGGAAGUACA
rnacentral:lncRNA from 1 species